rnacentral:rRNA from 1 species
UACGGGAGGCAGCAGGGGGAAUAUUGCACAAUGGGCGAAAGCCUGAUGCAGCUAUGCCGCGUGUAUGAAGAAGGCCUUAGGGUUGUAAAGUACUUUCAUCGGGGAGGAAAAACAAAACUAAUAAUUUUAUUUCUUGACGUUACCCGAAAAAGAAGCACCGGCUAACUCCGUGCCAGCAGCCGCGGUAAUACGGAGGGUGCUAGCGUUAAUCAGAAUUACUGGGCGUAAAGAGCACGUAGGUGGUUUUUUUAAGUCAGAUGUGAAAUCCCUGGGCUUAACCUAGGAACUGCAUUUUGAAACUGAAAUACUAGAGUAUCGUAGAGGGAGGUAGAAUUCUAGGUGUAGCGGUGAAAUGCGUAGAUAUCUGGAGGAAUACCUGUGGCGAAAGCGGCCUCCUAAACGAAUACUGACACUGAGGUGCGAAAGCGUGGGGAGCGAAACAGGGAUUAGAUACC